ensembl:rRNA 5S_rRNA 5S ribosomal RNA
GUCUACAGCCAUGCCACCUUGAACUCACCUAGUUGCGUCUGAUCUUGGAAGUUAAUCACGGUCAGGCAUGGUUAGUAGUUGGAUGGCAGAAUGCCUGGGAAUAUGAAGUGCUUUAAAAA